UACAUGGGGUGCAAACGUUGCUCGGAAUUAUUGGGCGUAAAGCGCACGUAGGCGGUUCGUUAAGUCGGAUGUGAAAGCCCUCGGCUCAACUGAGGAAGUGCACCCGAAACUGGCGAGCUUGAGUACGAAAGAGGAUCGCGGAAUUCCUGGUGUAGCGGUGGAAUGCGCAGAUAUCAGGAGGAACACCGGUGGCGAAGGCGGGUCUCUGGGCAGUAACUGACGCUGAGGAGCGAAAGCGUGGGGAGCGAACAGG
rnacentral:rRNA from 1 species